UACAGAGGUCUCAAGCGUUGUUCGGAUUCAUUGGGCGUAAAGGGUGCGUAGGCGGCGCGGUAAGUCGGGUGUGAAAUCUCGGAGCUUAACUCCGAAACUGCAUUCGAUACUGCCGUGCUUGAGGACUGGAGAGGAGACUGGAAUUUACGGUGUAGCGGUGAAAUGCGUAGAUAUCGUAAGGAAGACCAGUGGCGAAGGCGGGUCUCUGGA
rnacentral:rRNA from 1 species